UGAACGCUGGCGGCGUGCCUACUACAUGCAAGUAGAACGCUGAAGGAAGGAGCUUGCUCUUUCCGGAUGAGUUGCGAACGGGUGAGUAACGCGUAGGUAACCUGCCUGGUAGCGGGGGAUAACUAUUGGAAACGAUAGCUAAUACCGCAUAACAGUAGAUGUUGCAUGAUAUCUACUUAAAAGGUGCAAUUGCACCACUACCAGAUGGACCUGCGUUGUAUUAGCUAGUUGGUGAGGUAACGGCUCACCAAGGCGACGAUACAUAGCCGACCUGAGAGGGUGAUCGGCCACACUGGGACUGAGACACGGCCCAGACUCCUACGGGAGGCAGCAGUAGGGAAUCUUCGGCAAUGGACGGAAGUCUGACCGAGCAACGCCGCGUGAGUGAAGAAGGUUUUCGGAUCGUAAAGCUCUGUUGUAAGAGAAGAACGAGUGUGAGAGUGGAAAGUUCACACUGUGACGGUAUCUUACCAGAAAGGGACGGCUAACUACGUG
rnacentral:rRNA from 1 species